CGCAAUUGUGUUGCUGCGGUUGUCAAUACGAUAGUGUCGAGUAACAUAAUUCAAGUAAACUUAGAAAUAUAAAAUCUUAAAGUGGCAGUCAUGGGCUGAAGGAGAUGGUUUCACUGGCGUACGUGAUACUGAUAUUGAUGCGGCACCAGUGUGUAAAGUAAUUGAGCUAAGUUAUGGUUAUGGAAGUAGAUGAUAAAGCAGACUCAGAUGGCGAUUGUACCAAUGAUAUUAUAUUUAAAUACAAAGGAACAUCAGAGAGAUGCAGCCGCAUCAAAUGUGAACAGAGGUCUCGUGGUACCAAGUUGUAUGCUAGUAGCAUGGAAAAUAUGCCCGGAUGUUCAUUUGAUUCCUUAAAAGAUAUUAGUGCAAGAAUCUCACAUACUCAUAGCAAGAAAGUAAUUAAGCAUGCUUUGCGUCAGCAAGCUAGAAGGCGCAGGAAGAAUACUACAAUCAAUGCAGCUAAAGGCAAUUGCAUAGCCUCCAAACCUUCAACAAUGCGUGAAGUCUUGGCCUCUAUACCUGGAUUUAGUAUAAAACCAAGAAAAAGGUCAAAUAAGAAACUUUCUGCAGCUGCACAGUUGGAACAAACUAAGGAAGGCUGUAUUGAUCUUGAAACACCAGAUUCUAUCCUUGUGAAUACCAAUUUGAGAGCUCUUUUGAAUAAGCAUACAUUUUCUAGUUUACCUCCACUGUAUCAGCGCAAGCUUGUUCAACUUCUCCCAGAUGUUGACAGAGCUAGCAUAUCUACACAGUCUGAUAAUUCAUUAAGAUUGAAUUCUUCUGGUUUAAAUAAUGAAUUUUUUGCUCGAGCAUGUCUUGAGUGGCGAGAAAGGUUAGCUGAAGGUGAAUUUACUCCAGAGAACCAACAAAGACUGAAAGCAGAAGCGGAGAAAGAAAUGAGCCGUCUCGAUCCGUGGAAGCUUAAACACUUUGAACCUAUUUGGGGUGAAAAGCAAGAUGCGAGAUCGGAAAAUAUACCUCUUAUGCUUCCGAGUCCAGUAAGACCACCAUUGAAAACAACUAUAAAGCUAAGGCCAUCAACAUCAGUUGGUGGAGGACGUCACAGUAAACCUGUACAGACAUGUGCAAGGCGAUUAAGAACAGUUGGUGCAGUUACGAGAGCAAUUGCAAGCUACAGGGAAGAGGUGGAUAGUGCUGUAGCUUGUAAAGUAGCAGAUUUGGCAGUAACCAGUAGCACAGAGAAGAGGAGCCUCGAAAGUCCGGAAUGCUACUCUCAACGGACCUCAAAGAAGUUGAGAGCCUUGAGUCCACAGGAGUCAAAGAGUGAUAUUAGCUUUAAUGAAGCUGCUCCAGCCAGUGUAUCAUGUGAAACUGAUACUCCUGAAAGCAAUUUGGAACUGGAUCGUCCUAAAAGUAGCGCUGAGGAAUUUGAAGAUAAUGAAGAAAAACUUGGUGUGCUCAAUGAACUGAGUUUUAACAAUGAAGUAGCACCAUGUGAUGUUCCAGAACAUGAAACACUAUCCGGUGAAUGCAUUGAUGUGGCAGGUGAAACUGUUGAUGUUCUGACAUCUGACAAAGAUGUGUUUCUUAAAGAAUCCGUAGAUUGUGACAGCCAGAGUACUACAGAAAGCAAAGAACAACACAGUAAUCAGUACCUGACGGCUAUGGAGUGUGAAGAAAAUGAUGUUCCAGAAGUUGUUGAUACAAAGUUGUCUGAGAAUGAAAUCCAAGAAAUAGUUGGUGGUUCAUCAGAUGUUCAUAUGCAACAAGAAAGUGAAAUAAAAAUUGAAGAAUGCACAGUCAAGAAUAUUGCUAGUGGAACUGUGAGCUUAACUGAGAUGCCAAUUGAAAUUAAAGUCAGUAAUGAACAUAUAGAUCUACUUGUUGAAUUUAGUGAAGUUAAAAGUGAAAGCAGAGAGGAGGUUAGCAGUGGAACCAGAGAGGUUAGCAGUAGAAGCAGGGAGGUGAUUACCAAUGGGAGUGUAGAUGAGGUUAGCAGUGGAAGCAGAGAGGAGGUUAGCAGUGAUGAGGUUAGCAGUGGAAGCAGGGAGGAGGUUAACAUUGUAAGCAGAGAGGAAAUUAGCUGUGGAAGCAGAGAGGAGGUUAGCAGGGGUCAGGUUGGCUCUGUUAGCCAAGAUGAGGUUGGCUCUAUUACCAGAGAUGAGGUUGACUCCAUUAGUGGAGAUGAGGUUGGCUCUGUUAGUGGUGAUGAUUCUGGCUCCGUUAGCAGAGUUGAGGUCAGCUUUGCUAGCAGAGUUGACGUUGGCUCUGGUAGCAGAGUUGACGUUGGCUCUGGUAGCAGGGUUGACGUUGGCUCUGGUAGCAGGGUUGACGUUGGCUCUGGUAGCAGGGUUGACGUUGGCUCUGGUAGCAGAGUUGACGUUGGCUCUGGUAGCAGGGUUGACGUUGGCUCUGGUAGCAGGGUUGACGUUGGCUCUGGUAGCAGGGGUGACGUUGGCGCUGGUAGCACGGCUGACGUUGGCUCUGGUAGCAGGGCUGAUGUUGGCUCUGGUAGCAGGGCUGAAGUUGGCUCUGGUAGCAGGGUUGACGUUGGCUCUGGUAGCAGGGCUGACGUUGGCUCUGGUAGCAGGGCUGACGUUGGCUCUGCUGGCAGGGCUGACGUUGGCUCUGAAAGUAGGGAUGAGGUCAGCACUUUAAGCAGAGAUGAGAUUAGCGCUGUAAGCAGAGAGGAGUUUAAUACUAUAAGCAGAGAUGAAGUUGAAAGUGAAAGUAAAGAGGACAUUAAAAGUGAAAACAAAGGAGAAUUAUUUAGUGAUAGUCAUCUUUUCAGUGAGUUUGGACCAAGUUUUAAGUGUGAUGAACAGGAUACUAAAUAUGAUAUUAAAGACAAUAAGUUAGAUGUUAGUACGGACGUUCCUCUGGAAUUGGAGUCUCAAAUUUCUGUUGAGUGUGAGAUGUGUGAUGAUAUCGUAAAAAGUGAAGAAUGUGACAGUCAAAAUUUGACAGACUCGAAAACGAAUGUGAUGAUUGAGCUUGUUACAAGAAGUGAGUUUUCUGUUGAGAAAUGUGAAGCAGACAAUACUAACAGAGGAAUUAUUGACUCUGAAAUGGAAAUGGUAACUGUGAAUAGUGCUGUAACAUUAGGGGAUAUAAAAGAAGAAUUGAAAGAAGUGGACAUUGCUAAUAAUGUGACCUCGCAGACAUCUGAUAGUGUUCCUUAUGAUCAGAACUGUGUUUCCCAUGCUGGAACUGACAGUAGUGAAUUGUUCGGUAGCUCAGGUGUUGUCACCAAAGUUGAAGUAACUGCCAGCCUUGAGGAAAGUGCGUGUGUACCAGGAAAACCAUUGCACGCUGUGACUGUUGAACCCACAAGCUCUGAACCAGAUAUGAACAAAGUGGAAGAUGAUGACGAUGACGAUGACGAUGAUGAGGACGACGAUGAUGACGACGAUGAAGAGGAUGAUGAUGAGGAGGAGGAGGAGGAGGAGGAAGAUGAAGAUGACGAUGACGAUGAUGCAGAAGAUGAUGUUGAAGAAAAUCAGACAGCCCUUUUUGCCACAACUGUUUCUAGUGGAGAUGGCUGUUGCUGGGAUGUUGAUUCAAGUACAGAGGUGCCUAUUGUUGCGUUGGAGGCAGUCCCAGUUCCUGUUCCUGUAGCAUUAAGGGUAAUUGAAGAUGGAGAAGCUGCUGAUGAAGUAGAAGUAAUUCCAAUGCAGGAGGAGCUGGAAGUGAGGUUAGAGGAAGGAACAUUUCCUGUUGCUUCUGAGGACGGCCUAUCAGUGGACUGGCCGUAUGCCGUAAAGAUGGAUCCAUCUAUGGUAGCAGUAACAUCGGACCAGGAGGGGCUGAAUAAAUCUGUGCAGUCACAGUAUGCUGACUAUCCAACAAGUCAAGGUGUAAAACUGGAAUUAGAAGUGACGUUGACACCAGAGACUGUUACAAAUGCAGAAUCUAUGGUGACAAGCAGUGUGGGUGGUUUGCCCCAAAAUGCUUCUGCAGCGUUACCUACUCCAACAGUGUCAAAGACUAACAUUGCAACUGUUAUCCCACCGACUACGAUUGUAUGCCUUCCAUCUGUGGUAUCAGCACCGAAUCUGAUGAAUCAGCAUACAAGCCAGCUGACCGGUUGUGUCAGUGUCCCAUCAAAUGGAAUUAUCAAUUCUAACCUACCAAAGACUGCUGCUGUGGCAAGCUCGAGUGCUGUGCCAUACCUUGCCUUAAGCAGCACUACUCCUGUGCGAGCUUUGCCAACACAUAUACCAAAGAGCCAAAUGAAAAGCAAACCAGUCCGAGAAACUUCACAGGUAUCUUCCGGAGGGCAGAGUGGUGGAGGACGAAGCUCUCGGGGCUCUUCGAAUAAGCCACCACCUGGUGCAGUUAAUCUAGAACGAAGCUAUCAAAUAUGUCAAGCUGUCAUACAGAACAGCCCAAAUCGAGACCAGUUACGUUGUCAGUUGAAGCCACCUCCAUCUUUGUUGGCUGCUAACUCGAACACUACAGGUGUCGGUGCUACAAAAAAAUCAGAAACUCCUGGUAGUGCUCGAGCUGCUACCCAGUAUGGUGUGGUUACUUCUUCACGAAAUGGAAAUGGACAAACUAAUAAUUCCACUAACACCAAGGCAUUUACCUCCCCUUUGCCGGCCUCUGGAAAUUUUUCUGUAUUGCCUAAUAAUGGAAAUGUAAACAACAGCGUUGGUGUGUCAAAGCCAGUAUCCGUAACUUCCAUUGGUGGCCAAAACAAAGUGACCAGUUCAAAGGGAGGCUCCUAUCAUCAGAGACAGCAGUCACCACCUGUAUUGGUUCGUCAUGUUUUUACAUCCCCUCAAGGGAUUCCAGUUACAAUGGCUGUCUUACCACAAUCACAAGCUCCUCCUGUACCUGAGUGGUUUUUCUAACUUCUUUUCCCGAGUAUCGUCAGUGCAGUGCAGUGGAUCGGAAGUAUCAUUUAGCAUGAUAGUGGAAAGUCCUGGACCACAAGUUGGACAUGUUGGUCAAUACAUUUUAGUACAGAGAGCAGGUGUGGAUCAGC
rnacentral:misc_RNA from 1 species